rnacentral:misc_RNA from 1 species
CCGAGUGAGGGCCCUCUGGGUCCAACCUCCCACCCGUGUUUAUUAUACCUUGUUGCUUUGGCGGGCCCGCCUCACGGCCGCCGGGGGGCUUCUGCCCCCGGGCCCGUGCCCGCCGAAGACACCUUAGAACUCUGUCUGAAGAUUGUAGUCUGAGUAAAAAUAUAAAUUAUUUA